GUAGGUGGCAAGCGUUGUCCGGAAUUAUUGGGCGUAAAGCGCGCGCAGGCGGUUCUUUAGGUCUGAUGUGAAAGCCCACGGGCUCAACCGUGGAGGGUCAUUGGAAACUGGAGAACUUGAGUACAGAAGAGGAAAGCGGAAUUCCAAGUGUAGCGGUGAAAUGCGUAGGGAUGUGGAGGAACACCAGUGGCGAAGGCGGCUUUCUGGUCUGUAACUGACGCUGAGGCGCGAAAGCGUGGGGAGCAAACAGGAUUAGAUACCCUGGUAGUCCACGCCGUAAACGAUGAGUGCUAAGUGUUAGGGGGUUUCCGCCCCUUAGUGCUGCAGCUAACGCAUUAAGCACUCCGCCUGGGGAGUACGGCCGCAAAGGCUG
rnacentral:rRNA from 1 species